rnacentral:rRNA from 1 species
UUAAAUUAUAAGAUAUUAACAUCGUUUAAUUACCCGAAACAGGUAGAGCUAAUUUAAGUUAGAGUUUUAGACCAUUCUUAUUAUAAUGUGGCAAAAUUAUAAAAUGAAUUUCAAUUAGGGGUGAAAGGCCUAUCAAUACCUGCAGAUAUCUGGAUAAGCCUUAAAAAUAUUUAGUAUUAUAAGUCAAAUAUAAAAUUUUAAGAUUUUAUAUCAAAAAAAUAUUGUAAAUAAAGUCAAAGUAAGUAAAGUAAUAUUUAGUUGCUUAAUUAAGAAAAAAAUCAGAUAACUAUUACAUUUAAGAUCAUGAGGCUUUACUUCAUUUAAUUUGGUAUAGAGUCGAUUUUGUUUAGAUUAGUAAUAAUAUUUAAACUACCUAAAAGGAACUCGGCAAAUUUAAAUCUCAACUGUUUAUCAAAAACAUAGCUAGCUGUUAUUAUAUCUAGUUCUUUCUGCCCGGUGGAUAGUUUUAACGGCCGCAGUACACUGACUGUGCAAAGGUAGCAUAAUAAUUUGACUUUUAAUUGAAGUCUAGUAUGAACGGGAACCUGGGAUAAGACUGUCUCUUAUUUAUGUUAUUAAAUUACUUUAGAAAGUGAAAAGACUUUCAUAUAUUAAAAGACGAGAAGACCCUAUGAAUUUUUAUUAAGAAGGAUUCCAUUCUUUCACAUUUUUGUUGGGGCAACAAAAUGACAACGAUUAAAAUUAUCAACCAUAAUAAACUCAUUUACAUACAAAGAUCAGUUGAUUAAAGAGGAUAUACCGAAUGUUAUUAAUAAAAGAUAAAUUACUAUAGGGAUAACAGCAUAAUUUUACAAACUAGAUUGUGACCUCGAUGUUGGAUUAGGAAACAAUUGAGGUAGCACUUUAAUUGGUUAGUUCUGUUCGAACUUUACUUCCU